GAUGAACGCUAGCUACAGGCUUAACACAUGCAAGUCGAGGGGCAGCGGUAUCGAAAGCUUGCUUUCGGUAGCCGGCGACCGGCGCACGGGUGAGUAACGCGUAUCGAACCUGCCUCAUACUCGGGAAUAGCCUUGCGAAAGUAAGAUUAAUGCCCGGUGUUUUCAGAGUCCCGCAUGAGGCUUUGAACAAAGAUUUAUCGGUAUGAGAUGGCGAUGCGUCCCAUUAGCUUGUUGGCGGGGUAACGGCCCACCAAGGCAUCGAUGGGUAGGGGUUCUGAGAGGAAGGUCCCCAACAUUGGAACUGAGACACGGUCCAAACUCCUACGGGAGGCAGCAGUGAGGAAUAUUGGUCAAUGGCGGAAGCCUGAACCAGCCAAGUAGCGUGCAGGAAGACGGCCCUCCGGGUUGUAAACUGCUUUUAGUUGGGAAUAAAACGGGGCUCGUGAGCCCCCUUGCAUGUACCAUCAGAAAAAGGACCGGCUAAUUCCGUG
rnacentral:rRNA from 1 species